UACCCACUAGGCACGUGAAGUUCAUAUUUAGACCCCGAAUAUCAGGAGCUUCGAAAGUGUAAAAAAAUGUACAAUUGUAGCGGAUGGCAUCACUUGUUGCUGUAGCAAUGGUAUCCUGUGCAGACGGAUAGUUAUUGAUAAAGUGAGUCCGGAACUUCGUUAUCUGACAGCUUACAUGGUUUUUAUCGAUUUUAUUGGUGUGUUUGGACUGCUUGUUUCCUUGUUUCUUCAAUGUCCACAAAUUGAAAUGACAGGAACUACUCUCGUCGGACAUGAAAAAUACAAGAGAAGCACCGCAUCCACCGCUUCCAAUGACGGCACGCCACUGUUGGUUUGUUUUGAUGGGAUAAGGUAACGCAAACACGAAGGCGAUUUGUCAAGGAGAGAUAACUACCAGAAGGAUUUUCUACGGGGAAUUGGCCCCUAUUUAGCCGUUAGACACGUGAAGAAAAUCCGGAAAA